CUUUGUCUUAUUUUGUUGGUUUAGGAGACAAAGUAAUGAUUAAUAGGGACGGUUGGGGGCAUUAGUAUUCCACAGUCAGAGGUGAAAUUCUUGGAUUUGUGGAAGACUAACUUCUGCGAAAGCAUUUGUCAAGCACGCUUUCUUUAAUCAGGAACGAAAGUUAGGGGAUCGAAGACGAUCAGAUACCGUCGUAGUCUUAACAGUAAACGAUGCCGAUUCAGGAUCCUAGGGUGUUAUAUUAUUGACCUCUAGGGCACUGUAUGAGAAAUCAAAAUUUUUGGGUUCCGGGGGGAGUAUGGUCGCAAGGCUGAAACUUAAAGGAAUUGACGGAAGGGCACCACCAGGAGUGGAGCCUGCGGCUUAAUUUGACUCAACACGGGGAAACUCACC
rnacentral:rRNA from 1 species